GACGAACGCUGGCGGCGUGCUUAACACAUGCAAGUCGAACGGAAAGGCCCUGCUUUUGUGGGGUGCUCGAGUGGCGAACGGGUGAGUAACACGUGAGUAACCUGCCCUUGACUUUGGGAUAACUUCAGGAAACUGGGGCUAAUACCGGAUAGGAGCUCCUGCUGCAUGGUGGGGGUUGGAAAGUUUCGGCGGUUGGGGAUGGACUCGCGGCUUAUCAGCUUGUUGGUGGGGUAGUGGCUUACCAAGGCUUUGACGGGUAGCCGGCCUGAGAGGGUGACCGGCGGCAUGGGGAGGGAGAGACGGCCCAGACUGCUAGGGGGGGCAGCAGGGGGGAAGGUUGCACAAUGGGCGGAAGCCUGAUGCAGCAACGCCGCGUGCGGGAUGACGGCCUUCGGGUUGUAAACCGCUUUCGCCUGUGACGAAGCGUGAGUGACGGUAAUGGGUAAAGAAGCACCGGCUAACUACGUG
rnacentral:rRNA from 1 species